rnacentral:rRNA from 1 species
UACGGAGGGUGCAAGCGUUGUCCGGAAUCACUGGGCGUAAAGAGCGUGUAGGCGGCCACUUAAGUCCUGCGUGAAAUCUUGCGGCUCAACCGCAAGCGGUCGUGGGAAACUGGGUGGCUAGAGUGCGGGAGAGGAGAGUGGAAUUCCUGGUGUAGCGGUGGAAUGCGCAGAUAUCGGGAGGAACACCGGUGGCGAAGGCGGUUCUCUGGGGCCUGUACUGACGCUGAGGAGCGA